GACGAACGCUGGCGGCGUGCUUAACACAUGCAAGUCGAACGGAAAGGCCCUGCUUUUGUGGGGUGCUCGAGUGGCGAACGGGUGAGUAACACGUGAGUAACCUGCCCUUGACUUUGGGAUAACUUCAGGAAACUGGGGCUAAUACCGGAUAGGUGCUCCUGCUGCAUGGUGGGGGUUGGAAAGUUUCGGCGGUUGGGGAUGGAAUCGCGGCUUAUCAGCUUGUUGGUGGGGUAGUGGCUUACCAAGGCUUUGACGGGUAGCCGGCCUGAGAGGGUGACCGGCCACAUUGGGACUGAGAUACGGCCCAGACUCCUACGGGAGGCAGCAGUGGGGAAUAUUGCACAAUGGGCGGAAGCCUGAUGCAGCAACGCCGCGUGCGGGAUGACGGCCUUCGGGUUGUAAACCGCUUUCGCCUGUGACGAAGCGUGAGUGACGGUAAUGGGUAAAGAAGCACCGGCUAACUACGUG
rnacentral:rRNA from 1 species